rnacentral:rRNA from 1 species
GACGAACGCUGGCGGCGUGCUUAACACAUGCAAGUCGAACGGAAAGGCCCCCUUGUGGGGUACUCGAGUGGCGAACGGGUGAGUAACACGUGAGUAACCUACCCUUGACUUUGGGAUAACUUCAGGAAACUGGGGCUAAUACCGGAUAGGAGCUCCUGCUGCAUGGUGGGGGUUGGAAAGUUUCGGCGGUUGGGGAUGGGCUCGCGGCUUAUCAGCUUGUUGGUGGGGUAGUGGCUCACCAAGGCUUUGACGGGUAGCCGGCCUGAGAGGGUGACCGGCCACAUUGGGACUGAGAUACGGCCCAGACUCCUAUGGGAGGCAGCAGUGGGGAAUAUUGCACAAUGGGCGGAAGCCUGAUGCAGCAACGCCGCGUGCGGGAUGACGGCCUUCGGGUUGUAAACCGCUUUCGCCUGUGACGAAGCGUGAGUGACGGUAAUGGGUAAAGAAGCACCGGCUAACUACGUG